AUUGACUAUUCAUGUUUCUGAGAUCAUUACAUCAAUAAUUUAUUACACUCUAUAAGCGCACUCACAAGAAAUUGAAAACGAAAAUGUGAAAACAAAACUUAAAUUUGGGAGAAGUUACUAUCUUAUAUACAUGGCUGUAAGUCUCCCAUUUCCUGUUGUGUGUGUGUGUGUGUGUGUGUGUGUGUGUGUGUUUGUAUGUGGGAACAUCAUUUGGAUGGUGGCCAUGCCCGUGGAUGUGAUUCCACUAAUAUGGACCAAAGAACAUGCACAUCUUCAUAGUGGCAGGACUUGACAUCCUCGUACAGUAUAUAUAUCCCUCUACCUGAAAAACCAACAACAAAAAUGUAGUGAGUUGGCUAGAUAAAUGCCCUCUAAUAAACCCGGGAAAUGAACAAUAUGAAGAGGAUGAACAUUUGAUACAGGGCGCGAAUGCAAGUUUAUGUUGUCAUGCAAUGACUCCAACUAGUGUACUAACAAAAGCUAAAGAAAAUGUGGGCUUCUGUUUGAAAAAAAAUGGGGAAGAAAAACGAGUAGACGAAUAAAAGUGACUGAUGCCUAGCUGAAGUAGCUGGCGUUGAAUUAGCAACAGAAGUCACGAAACCAACAUUUGAAGCAAGGGAUUGUUAAUGAGGAUAGCAUACUCUUUUUUUGAGCAGAGUGCAGACGAAUCCACAGCUUCUUCAACGGAGAGAAGAGGGACUGCAGCCACUGCAUUUCGAGAGCGG
rnacentral:lncRNA from 1 species